GAUGAAGAACGUAGCGAAAUGCGAUAAGUAGUGUGAAUUGCAGAAUUCAGUGAAUCAUCGAAUCUUUGAACGCACAUUGCGCCCUUUGGUGUUCCAAAGGGCAUGCCUGUUCGAGCGUCAUUUGUACCCUCAAGCUUUGCUUGGUGUUGGGCGUCUUGUCUCUAGCUUUGCUGGAGACUCGCCUUAAAGUAAUUGGCAGCCGGCCUACUGGUUUCGGAGCGCAGCACAAGUCGCACUCUCUAUCAGCAAAGGUCUAGCAUCCAUUAAGCCUUUUUUUCAACUUUUGACCUCGGAUCAGGUAGGGAUACCCGCUGAACUUAAGCGUAUCAAUAAGCGGAGGA
rnacentral:misc_RNA from 1 species